rnacentral:rRNA from 1 species
CUUCAUAUGUCGUUGUUAACUUUACAUAUUACUAGGAAUUCCUUGUUCAUACCAUAUUUACAUAAUAGUAAUCCCAACUCCUUAGAAAAUUAUAAACUUUCUAUUGUAGUGCGCGUGUUGCCCAUUUCAUUUAAGGGCAUCUCUGACCUGUUAUCGCCCACUCCUUCCUAUGGCUUACACCAUCCGUCUACUAACCUUUAUAUAAAUCAGUACGUGGGUCUCACACAUUGGUGGAUUUAACAUAAUAAAUAUCAAAAUUCACAUCACGCAUUGUUAACGGCCAUGCACCACUCAUAGUAAAUGAGUCUAUCCAUAAAUGAAUCACACAUAGUAAUGAUAAGUUGUCUUCAACACAUAUUAAACAUACCCACUCCUGGUGUGUCCUUCCGUCAAUUUCAUUUAAGUUUAAAACUUGCGUUCGUACUAUCCCCAAAGUUCAUAAUAUCUUAAUUUCUAUAUAUCCACACUACAAC